GCGGAUGUGCUGGAAUUGGUAGACUGGCAAGCUUGAGGUGCUUGUGCUCGAAUGGGCGUACGGGUUCGAGUCCCGUCAUCCGCA
rnacentral:tRNA from 1 species